GAAAGGUACUAUGACUGGACGUGCACGUA
rnacentral:piRNA from 1 species